rnacentral:rRNA from 1 species
GAUGAACGCUAGCGGCGCGCCUUAGGUAUGCAAGUCGAGCGUCUCGUAAAUUUAUUUACGGGUAGCGGCAGACGGGUGAGUAACGCGUGGAUAAUCUACCCCUUUCUCUGGUAUAGCCCUCCGAAAGGAGGGGUAAUCCCGGAUAGUCUAACAGGGUGAAAUUCCCUAUUAGUAAAGAAUUUCGGAAAGGGAGGAAUCUGCGUCCCAUCAGCUUGUUGGUAGGGUAAUGGCCUACCAAGGCAACGACGGGUAGCUGGACUGAGAGGUCGGCCAGCCACAAGGGAACUGAGACACGGUCCCUACACCUACGGGUGGCAGCAACCGGGAAUAUUGCGCAAUGGGCGAAAGCCUGACGCAGCGACGCCGCGCGGAGGAUGACGGCCUUCGGGUUGUAAACUCCUUUUGUAAGGGAAGAUUAUGACGGUACCUUACGAAUAAGCAGUUGCUAACUACGUGCCAGAAGCCUCGGUAAUACGUAGACUGCAAGCGUUAUCCGGAUUUACUGGGCGUAAAGCGUGCGUAGGCUUGAUUUUAAGUCGACGGUGAAAUACCCGGGCUCAACCCGGGAAACGCUAUCGAUACUGGGAUCAUUGAGAGUAAGCGAGGGCAUCGGAACUUUGAAAGUAGCAGUGAAAUGCGUUGAUAUUCAAAGGAACACCAAAGGCGAAGGCAGGUGCCUGGAUUACUUCUGACGCUGAGGCACGAAAGCUAGGGUAGCGAAAGGGAUUAGAGACCCCUGUAGUCCUAGCCGUAAACGAUGGAUGCUAGAUGGCCCAAUCAGAAAGCAAGAAAGAGUUUGUAGUAAGUAGUCAGGUAGUUUGUAGUUUAAAAAAAAUACUACUAACUAACAGACGACUAACUACCUAACUAAUUCGUGCUUUGUGGUUGGGCUGUCGCAAGCUAACGCGUUAAGCAUCCCGCCUGGGGAGUACGAUCGCAAGAUUAAAACUCAAAGGAAUUGACGGGGUCCCGCACAAGCAGGGGAGCGUGUGGUUUAAUUCGAUACUAAGCGAAAAACCUCACCCAGGUUUGACAUGGAGCUGCAAGCGCACGGAAACGUGUGACCUUAGAGGGUGCUCCACAGGUGCUGCAUGGCUGUCGUCAGCUCGUACCGUGAGGCGUUGGUUUAAGUACCGCAACGAGCGCAACCCCCGUUCUUAGUUGUAUCACUCUAAGAAAACUGCCUCUGUAUUUCAGGGGAGGAAGGUGGGGAUGACGUCAAGUCAGCACGGCCCUUACGUCUGGGGCUACACACACCCUACAAUGGCGCAUAACAACGGGCAUAGCGACGUGGUAACAUGAAGCGAAUCCCUAAAACUGCGCCCCAGUUCAGAUUGUGGGCUGCAACUCGCCCACAUGAAGGAGGACUUGCUAGUAAUCGCGGAUCAGCAGGCCGCGGUGAAUACGUUCUCGGGGCUUGUACACACCGCCCGUCAAGCCAACAAAGUUGGGGGCACCCGAAGCCCUUAUUUAUUAAGGUUUAAGGUGAAACCAGCGAUGGGGACUAAGUCGUAACAAGGUAAAU